rnacentral:misc_RNA from 1 species
GUAGGUGAACCUGCGGAAGGAUCAUUACUGAGGUUUCCCGGCGCAAGCUGGGGCGAACCCGACCUAUUGUCAUGUGCACGUUGGGGGAGAACGGUGGCGUGUUGGCGUUGUGGCGUGUGACGGAUGGUGCCCGAGAGGGUGGAUCCGGAGCGGCCCGCGCUGCGGCUGGCGCCCUGACGAACCUUAACUUCGGCGGAAGAGGUAGGCUGGACCUGCCCGCCGCCGGCCGUAACGUAUUUUACUCUGCAAACGAGAAUCUGAAGCCUGAUGUACCCAAAACAAAAUGAAAAGCAAAACUUUCAACAACGGAUCUCUUGGCUCUG